rnacentral:rRNA from 1 species
AUGCAUCUACAACAACAAGUUGCUGCCUGCAAUCACUUUGCAACAGCUGGAUUAUUUUCUCUCAUUUUCCUUGCGGUGGAUCUAUUUUUUUUGUCAAUGCGCAGCAGCAGCGACUACCGCUCCGGCGAUGACUGUCGUUUCCUCCAUCACUUUACAAGCAGCCACAAUGGACAUGAUCAGGCUAUUACGAAAAAAGAUGAACUGCUGGGUCUAGGCGGUGACGGGAAGCUCAGGAAGCCAAUGAGUCAUGCGAGCAGCUUCAAGACCAGACUAUGCCUAUGCUUUGUCGCCAGCGGAUGCCAGUUGGCCUAUGGCAAAGUUGAGCUGCGCAGGCCAGACGCAUCUUCAGAAGUCCAAGAUCAAGUGGUUCUCAUGCUGUUUGUGAUGAUCUUGUGUCUUCUGUUUUGCAGAAAUGCCUAA